GUGCCAGCCGCCGCGGUAAGACGGAGGGUGCAAGCGUUGUUCGGAAUCACUGGGCGUAAAGCGCGUGUAGGCGGUCCGAUAAGUCGAAUGUGAAAGCCCGAGGCUCAACCUCGGAAGUGCAUUCGAAACUGUCGGGCUUGAGUACGGGAGAGGGAAGUGGAAUUCCUGGUGUAGAGGUGAAAUUCGUAGAUAUCAGGAGGAACACCGGUGGCGAAGGCGGCUUCCUGGACCGAUACUGACGCUGAGACGCGAAAGCGUGGGGAGCAAACAGGAUUAGAUACCCCAGUAGUCC
rnacentral:rRNA from 1 species